rnacentral:rRNA from 1 species
GACAGAGGGUGCAAACGUUGUUCGGAAUUACUGGGCGUAAAGCGCGUGUAGGCUGUCUCGCAAGUCGGGUGUGAAAGCCCUGGGCUCAACCUAGGAAGUGCACUCGAAACUGCGAGACUUGAGUCCUGGAGAGGAAGGCGGAAUUCACGGUGUAGCAGUGAAAUGCGUAGAUAUCGUGAGGAACACCAGAGGCGAAGGCGGUUACCUGGACAGUUACUGACGCUCAGGCACGAAAGCAUGGGGAGCAAAAGGG